UACGAAGGGGGCUAGCGUUGCUCGGAAUUACUGGGCGUAAAGCGCACGUAGGCGGCUUUCUAAGUCGGGGGUGAAAUCCUGGAGCUCAACUCCAGAACUGCCUUCGAUACUGGAGAGCUUGAGUCCGGGAGAGGUGAGUGGAACUGGCGAGUGUAGAGGUGAAAUUCGUAGAAUAUUCGCAAGAACACCUGUGGCGAAAGG
rnacentral:rRNA from 1 species